AUGAACGCUAGCGGCAGGCCUAACACAUGCCAGUCGAGGGAGAGGUUACCUUCGGGUAACCAAAACCGGCGCACGGGUGCGUAACGCGUAUACAAUCUGCCUUUCACAUAGGGAUAGCCCGAAGAAAUUUGGAUUAAUACCUAAUGGUAUAUAAGAGCGGCAUCGUUUUUAUAUUAAAGCUACGGUGGUGAAAGAUGAGUAUGCGUUCUAUUAGCUAGUUGGAGAGGUAACGGCUCCCCAAGGCGACGAUAGAUAGGGGUUCUGAGAGGGAUGUCCCCCACACUGGUACUGAGAUACGGACCAGACUCCUACGGGAGGCAGCAGUGAGGAAUAUUGGACAAUGGUCGGAAGACUGAUCCAGCCAUGCCGCGUGCAGGAUGAAGGUCCUAUGGAUUGUAAACUGCUUUUGUAAGGGAAGAAUAAGGAGUACGUGUACUUUGAUGACGGUACCUUACGAAUAAGCAUCGGCUAACUCCGUG
rnacentral:rRNA from 1 species